UACGUAGGGACCAAGCGUUGUUCGGAUUUACUGGGCGUAAAGGGCGCGUAGGCGGCCUUCUAAGUCGAACGUGAAAUCCCCGGGCUCAACCCGGGAACUGCGUCCGAUACUGGAAGGCUUGAAUCCGGGAGAGGGAUGCGGAAUUCCAGGUGUAGCGGUGAAAUGCGUAGAUAUCUGGAGGAACACCGGUGGCGAAGGCGGCAUCCUGGACCGGCAUUGACGCUGAGGCGCGAAAGCCAGGGGAGCAAACGGG
rnacentral:rRNA from 1 species